rnacentral:rRNA from 1 species
CUACGGGUCGCUGCAGUCGAGAAUCUUUCGCAAUGGGGGAAACCCUGACGACGCGACGCCGUGUGAGUGAUGAAGGCCCUCGGGUUGUAAAACUCUGUCACUAGGGAGGAACAUAUUGAUAUUAAUACCAUCAAUAUUUGACAUUACCUGGAGAGGAAGCACCGGCUAACUCCGUGCCAGCAGCCGCGGUAAUACGGAGGGUGCAAGCGUUAUUCGGAUUUACUGGGCGUAAAGCGCGCGCAGGCGGUUUUGUAAGUCGGAUGUGAAAGCCCUGGGCUUAACCCAGGAAGUGCAUUCGAUACUGCAUUACUUGAGUAUGGGAGAGGGAAGCGGAAUUCCUGGUGUAGAGGUGAAAUUCGUAGAUAUCAGGAGGAACAUCGGUGGCGAAGGCGGCUUCCUGGACCAAUACUGACGCUGAGGCGCGAAGGCGUGGGGAGCAAACAGGAUUAGAUACCCGUGUAGUC